AAAGAAACCAACAGGGAUUGCCCCAGUAACGGCGAGUGAAGCGGCAAGAGCUCAAAUUUGAAAGCUGGCUCCUUCGGGGUCCGCAUUGUAAUUUGCAGAGGAUGCUUCGGGAGCGGUCCCCAUCUAAGUGCCCUGGAACGGGACGUCAUAGAGGGUGAGAAUCCCGUAUGGGAUGGGGUGUCCGCGCCCGUGUGAAGCUCCUUCGACGAGUCGAGUUGUUUGGGAAUGCAGCUCUAAAUGGGUGGUAAAUUUCAUCUAAAGCUAAAUAUUGGCCGGAGACCGAUAGCGCACAAGUAGAGUGAUCGAAAGAUGAAAAGCACUUUGAAAAGAGAGUUAAAAAGCACGUGAAAUUGUUGAAAGGGAAGCGCUUGCGACCAGACUCGCUCGCGGGGUUCAGCCGGCAUUCGUGCCGGUGUACUUCCCCGCGGGCGGGCCAGCGUCGGUUUGGGCGGUCGGUCAAAGGCCCUCGGAAGGUAACGCCCCUAGGGGCGUCUUAUAGCCGAGGGUGCAAUGCGACCUGCCUAGACCGAGGAACGCGCUUCGGCUCGGACGCUGGCAUAAUGGUCGUAAGCGAC
rnacentral:rRNA from 1 species